GUCCAGUGGUUAGGACUCUGCACUUCCACUGCAAGGGCACAGGUUCGAUUCCUGGU
rnacentral:tRNA from 1 species